GACGAACGCUGGCGGCGUGCUUAACACAUGCAAGUCGAACGAUGAAGCCUAGCUUGCUAGGUGGAUUAGUGGCGAACGGGUGAGUAAUACGUGAGUGACCUACCUUUGACUCUGGGAUAAGCCUGGGAAACUGGGUCUAAUACCGGAUACGACCAAUCUCCGCAUGGGGUGUUGGUGGAAAGCGUUAUGGAGUGGUUUUAGAUGGGCUCACGGCCUAUCAGCUUGUUGGUGAGGUAAUGGCUUACCAAGGCGACGACGGGUAGCCGGCCUGAGAGGGUGACCGGCCACACUGGGACUGAGACACGGCCCAGACUCCUACGGGAGGCAGCAGUGGGGAAUAUUGCACAAUGGGCGCAAGCCUGAUGCAGCGACGCCGCGUGAGGGAUGACGGCCUUCGGGUUGUAAACCUCUGUUAGCAUCGAAGAAGCGAAAGUGACGGUA
rnacentral:rRNA from 1 species